UUCAUUAAUCAUCCUCCUCAAAUGUGUCCCAGGACGAACAGGCGCGUUUCUCCGAAAUCACGGAGCUGUCACAGACGACGGCUCUUUAAAUCCCAAACCCUCGCGAGUUUCACAGCAUCAGCGUGAUUUCAGUCCCUUCUUCAUCUGUCAUCCUCUCACAUUAGCCUCGGUGGGAGGAGAAGCUCAGGGGAAUGAGUCUACAGCUCCCCGAAUAACGAGAAGAGAACCAGUCAGCUGUGUCAUGUUAAAACGGAACCGGACAGAUUUAUAUGAAGUUAUCGUUUCAUUGGUUUUGUUAAUAAGGGCCCCCGGUUGAGCUGUUGAUGAAAGAACAGAGGCUCGUGCACUGAGCAGACAGUGAUGGAUGAGAUAAAGAGUGCAUUCGAGGGAAUCUUCAGCAGAUGAGCAGGAUGUUCAGAAUAUAAGACUGUAAUGACUCUGUGGAGAAGUCAGCAUCGCAGCCUUCAGUCGCGCACUUGUGCUGUCUUUCUUAUUUAGACAAAAGCAUGACAGGAGUUUUGCGACCCUCCAAACAGAGACCCAGUAUGAAGCGACCUCGAAAUGAGCCUUACAGACAAACCACUUUCCCCUGUGUGCACACUCAAUCUGAAUUAAUCAAUCUGAAUUACCUCGGGGGAAGAAUCAAUCAUGUCAAACACACGAAGGACAAGGUUUUCGAUUAUCAACAUGUUCCGAUGUCUGUGACGACCAUCCCGUGUGACUUCGCAUCUUUUCGACGGACGUGUUCCUCUCCCUCUUUUUCUUCUGCAGCCCUGCGGCAUAGCAGAGAAAAACCUCAGAGCAGACACAAGUCCAGGAGCAGAGGAACCCAGCUAAGAAUGGAGGAGCUGAUGUGCAUUAAGAAAGAACUGACAGUGAUUAAAUCACAGAUAGACGAGCUGCUGAACAGUCUGGAGCGGAUGGACCCUCAAAGCCAUGAGCUGUCAGGAGACGGCGUGGCGUUCUCUCCGCUCCAUGGCUCUGUGAGCAGUGCGGACGAUUCAUCUGGUAGCUCUCCUCCCCUGAGGACAGACAGAGACACACAGAGCCCAGAGACAGCAGACAGCAGUGAUGAAAACAGACAGCAUGUUAAUUACUAUGAAUCAGAUUUGCUCUACAUGUAAACACAGGUUUCAGAUUCCCAGUUCAGAUACCAAGUUUUUGGGGAAAAGUCACAGGAUCUCUAAUGAUGGUGUAAAGAAAAGCACCGGCAAGUAAGAAAAACAAUAUCUGGAUCAUUUCCAAAUAUCCAGAUCCGUUCAGAGUUUCAUCAUGUGAACUGAACAUUAAUCCAGUUUGAAUCCGGUUGUGGAGCAGCUGUCUAAACAGACCAGAACAAACAGAACUAUGUGUCGUCAAACGCUGCUGAUGAUUUCAGGAGUUAUUUGAACACAAGCUGUUUUUCCAUUAUUAAAGUCAAUACUGAUAAGACUCAAGAUCAACAUUAAAGGAUACCACACACACACACACACACACUACGUUAUUGCAGAUAUCCUACAUAAAUCAUUUUAUGGUUCUACACAUUAAAUUGCUGAUGCUAAUAAGGAUAUCUACAUGUCUAUCAACUGAUAGACCCUGAUAUAUUAAAAAAUUGCUAAAUUAUGUGUAUUUAUGAGCCAUAUCUGAAACUUAAGAUUUAACCUGAGAUGUACAUAAACUCCUAUUUUAACCGAAAUGUCAUUAAAAUUCACAUAAUGUAUAAUAAUUAUUCAUACAGUAAUCAGUAAUUCAUAAUUUUGUUUAGUCCAUCAUCUACCUCUGUUACCAACUAGACAUGGUUUCUGCUCAUUGCAAGUGAUAUGUAAAUAUCUCCUCAUUAACAGCUCUGGCCAGUUUAGUGUUAAGACUAGAUUUACUGUAUGAUCAGGAAAAGGUUUUGUUGUUGUUGUUGUUUUUUAAUGGGAAAAUUUAGUAAAGUCCACACACUUGUUUGUUUUUUAAUAAGGCAUACAAUAAUAAAGUGGUUUUCUGCUGCA
ensembl:lncRNA